GACGGAGGAUGCAAGUGUUAUCCGGAAUCACUGGGCGUAAAGCGUCUGUAGGUGGUUUAAUAAGUCAACUGUUAAAUCUUGAGGCUCAACCUCAAAAUCGCAGUCGAAACUAUUAGGCUAGAGUAUAGUAGGGGUAAAGGGAAUUCCCGGUGUAGCAGUGAAAUGCGUAGAGAUCGGGAGGAACAUCUGUGGCGAAGGCGGCCUCCUGGGCCAGCACUGACGCUCAUGCACGAAAGCGUGGGGAGCAAACAGG
rnacentral:rRNA from 1 species